AUGGAGCUUUAGACACCAAGGCAGCCCACGUUAAGCACCCCGAAUAAAGGACUAAACCAAGUGAGCCCUGCCCUAAUGUCUUUGGUUGGGGCGACCGCGGGGAAUUAAAGAACCCCCACGUGGAAUGGGAGCACCCCUCCUACAACUAAGAGCUACAGCUCUAGUAACCAGAAAUUCUGACCAACAAGAUCCGGCAAUGCCGAUCAACGGACCG
rnacentral:rRNA from 1 species